AUUGAACGCUAGCGGGAUGCCUUACACAUGCAAGUCGAACGGCAGCGCGGACUUCGGUCUGGCGGCGAGUGGCGAACGGGUGAGUAACGUAUCGGAACGUGCCCAGUAGCGGGGGAUAACUACUCGAAAGAGUAGCUAAUACCGCAUACGCCCUACGGGGGAAAGGGGGGGAUCGCAAGGCCUCGCGCGAUUAGAGCGGCCGAUGUCUGAUUAGCUUGUUGGUGAGGUAAAAGCUCAUCAAGGCGAUGAUCAGUAGCUGGUCUGAGAGGACGAUCAGCCACACUGGGACUGAGACACGGCCCAGACUCCUACGGGAGGCAGCAGUGGGGAAUUUUGGACAAUGGGGGCAACCCUGAUCCAGCUAUGCCGCGUGAGUGAAGAAGGCCUUCGGGUUGUAAAGCUCUUUUGUCAGGGAAGAAACAGCAGCUCUAACACAGUCUGCGAAUGACGGUACCUGAAGAAUAAGCACCGGCUAACUACGUGCCAGCCGCCGCAGUAA
rnacentral:rRNA from 1 species